ACGAACGCUGGCGGCACGCUUAACACAUGCAAGUCGAACGAGAGAAGAGAAGCUUGCUUUUCUGAUCUAGUGGCGGACGGGUGAGUAACACGUGAGCAAUCUGCCUUUCAGAGGGGGAUACCGAUUGGAAACGAUCGUUAAUACCGCAUAAUAUAAUUGAACCGCAUGAUUUGAUUAUCAAAGAUUUAUCGCUGAAAGAUGAGCUCGCGUCUGAUUAGCUAGUUGGUAAGGUAACGGCUUACCAAGGCGACGAUCAGUAGCCGGACUGAGAGGUUGAUCGGCCACAUUGGGACUGAGACACGGCCCAGACUCCUACGGGAGGCAGCAGUGGGGAAUAUUGCACAAUGGAGGAAACUCUGAUGCAGCGAUGCCGCGUGAGGGAAGAAGGUUUUAGGAUUGUAAACCUCUGUCUUCAGGGACGAAAAAAGACGGUACCUGAGGAGGAAGCUCCGGCUAACUACGUGCCAGCAGCCGCGGUAAUACGUAGGGAGCGAGCGUUGUCCGGAAUUACUGGGUGUAAAGGGAGCGUAGGCGGGAUCGCAAGUCAGAUGUGAAAACUAUGGGCUUAACCCAUAAACUGCAUUUGAAACUGUGGUUCUUGAGUGAAGUAGAGGUAAGCGGAAUUCCUAGUGUAGCGGUGAAAUGCGUAGAUAUUAGGAGGAACAUCAGUGGCGAAGGCGGCUUACUGGGCUUUAACUGACGCUGAGGCUCGAAAGCGUGGGGAGCAAACAGGAUUAGAUACCCUGGUAGUCCACGCCGUAAACGAUGAUUACUAGGUGUGGGGGGACUGACCCCUUCCGUGCCGCAGCAAACGCAAUAAGUAAUCCACCUGGGGAGUACGACCGCAAGGUUGAAACUCAAAGGAAUUGACGGGGGCCCGCACAAGCAGUGGAGUAUGUGGAUUAAUUCGAAGCAACGCGAAGAACCUUACCAGGUCUUGACAUCGUAUGCAUAGCUCAGAGAUGAGUGAAAUCUCUUCGGAGACAUAUAGACAGGUGGUGCAUGGUUGUCGUCAGCUCGUGUCGUGAGAUGUUGGGUUAAGUCCCGCAACGAGCGCAACCCUUACUGUUAGUUGCUACGCAAGAGCACUCUAGCAGGACUGCCGUUGACAAAACGGAGGAAGGUGGGGAUGACGUCAAAUCAUCAUGCCCCUUAUGACCUGGGCUACACACGUACUACAAUGGCUGUUAACAGAGGGAUGCAAAGCCGCGAGGUGGAGCGAACCCCUAAAAGCAGUCUUAGUUCGGAUUGUAGGCUGCAACCCGCCUACAUGAAGUCGGAAUUGCUAGUAAUCGCAGAUCAGCAUGCUGCGGUGAAUACGUUCCCGGGCCUUGUACACACCGCCCGUCACGCCAUGGGAGUCGGUAACACCCGAAGCCUGUAGUCUAACCGCAAGGAGGACGCAGUCGAAGGUGGGAUUGAUGACUGGGGUG
rnacentral:rRNA from 1 species